GAAUAUUGCUAUCUAAUGUGAUUUGUGUGGCCACCUGGUAUCUGGUAGAGGUGGCAUUGCCAAAUUCAGGAGGAGAGGGGUUAAAUGGGAUUUUUAGGAAUGUGAUGGAUGUCAGAAGAUUAAGAUAUUAAUUGCUUUUUUGAAGCUGUGACUAUAACCAGAGCCUCUGCAAGGUGUGAAAUGUUACACAUGAGUUGCCUGUAAGUAUGGCUUCAAUGUG